CCUACGGGCGGCAGCAGUGAGGAAUAUUGGUCAAUGGACGAGAGUCUGUACCAGCCAAGUAGCGUGAAGGAUGACUGCCCUAUGGGUUGUAAACUUCUUUUAUAUGGGAAUAAAAUGUUCCACGUGUGGGAUUUUGUAUGUACCAUAUGAAUAAGGAUCGGCUAACUCCGUGCCAGCAGCCGCGGUAAUACGGAGGAUCCGAGCGUUAUCCGGAUUUAUUGGGUUUAAAGGGAGCGUAGGUGGAUUGUUAAGUCAGUUGUGAAAGUUUGCGGCUCAACCGUAAAAUUGCAGUUGAAAAUGGCAGUCUUGAGUACAGUAGAGGUGGGCGGAAUUCGUGGUGUAGCGGUGAAAUGCUUAGAUAUCACGAAGAACUCCGAUUGCGAAGGCAGCUCACUGGACUGCAACUGACACUGAGGCUCGAAAGUGUGGGUAUCAAACAGGAUUAGAUACCCGAGUAGUC
rnacentral:rRNA from 1 species